rnacentral:lncRNA from 1 species
CUCUAGCAUCCAAAAGCUGCGCAUCAGCUUCAUCCUUUAAGAAAAACAACAGCUCUUUCCUCUUCAACCAAAACACCAAGUGUUAUCCAUGAAAAUACAGCCAUGAACCUCCUUUAGCCACCAGCUAAACACCAUCAAAAUCAGCCCCCUAAAGCUCCCAAAACAGCCCAUAAAUAUCCCCUCUUUCAACCUAAAAAACGCCGCCGAAACAAGCUCUCAAACCCAGCAAAAAUCCAUCCAAAACUAUCCCCAAAUCUUAGCCAAAAACCAGCUGAAAAUCAACUCUAAAACACCCGAAAAUAUCAGCCAAAACACAGCUCAAACAGAUCCAAAAUACAGCUGCAUCGCACCACAAAACCCACGCCACAGUAGCUUCAAAACAGUCCCGAACACUGCUGCGUUUCUGCUUUAGAAAGGUCAAAUUGAUCUCUUUCUUUUCGAAUUCCCGAUGAGUUGCGAGGCUGCCGGAGAGGUGGUUCUGAGGUCGUUCGAGGCGCCGAUGUCGUUGGCAAAUAUUCUGGUCAAGAGUUGUCUAAUUUUCAAGUUGGUUGUAACUUAGGCUCAAAUUCAAUACAAAGGUCUGAUAUUUUAACUCUUCCGCCUAUUUCUUUUUUAUCAACUUCAAUAAUAGCUGCUACUUUGGUUCAGUUUCUCUUUGUUUAAAUGUUUUGAUUUCAAUUUUGCGUUUCUAUGUGGUUAGUUAGCUUUAUGCUUCAUCAUCUUAGUCCUCAAAUCACACAUAAUAAUAUCAAAACCACGAAUCGUCGAUCAAGAUCAAUCACUUAAGUUCAUAAACUUCAAACUUCGAAUCAAGCGUCCGAUUCAAGCCUAACCAAUCAGGAAUGAAUCCAAAUUUGGCAUACAAGUUCGAAAUGACAUAUCGAACCUAUUCUAACUCCCGGAACAAUAAUCCGAACCAGAUAACAUAAAAGUCAACUCUUGGUCAAACUUAUGAACUUUUCAAACCUUUAAAUUGCCAACUUUUGCCAAAUAGUGCCAAAACCUUUUAGAAGCCUCCAAAUUCGGGCAUACACUCAAGUCCAAAAUCACCAUACGGACCUAACGGAACCAUCAAAACUCCGAUUCGAGGUCAAAUACACAAAAGUCAAACUUGGUCAACUCCUUCAACUUAAAGUUUCUAAAAUAAAAAUCAUUCUUCCAAAUCAAUUCUGAAUCACACGAAAUCCAAAAUUGACGACACACGCAAUUUAUAAUACAUCAUAUGAAGCUACUCAUGUCCUCGAACCAUCGAACGGAGUGCAAAUACUCAAAACAACUGAUCGGGUCGUUACAUGGAAUGUAGCUUCCAUGUAGCUUCAGUUGGAAAGUUAUUAUGGCAAUUAAAUGAGAAAAAAGAUCUCUUGUGGGUGAGAUGAGUGCAUGGAGUAUACAUAAAGCAAAAUGAAAAUAUAUGGGAUGAUAAUCCUCCAAUCGAUAACAGUUGGUACUACAGAAAAUUGGAUACCCUUAAGAGUGGAAUGAUGCAAUGGUACCCGAACAGUAGAUAUCAACUUACAACUAAUGGGGAGUACUAACUAAGAGCUAUAAUGUUAUGCUAACAUGUCUAGAAAGAUUAAAGGAGGUUGACUUAAUCUGGAGCAAAGCAAUGCAACCUAAGCACAGGUUCAUUGUUUGGUUAGCCAACCAGAACAAGGUGCUCACAAAAAAGAGGCUCCAAAGGCUCCAUAUUCCAGUGGCAGAUAAUAUAUGUUAUUUGUGUGAUGAAGGAAAGGCAAAAAAUCCACAGCACCUAUUUGUAGAGUGUGCAUGGAUAAGUGAAGUUAGGCAAGGUCUCAGUAAUUGGUCUGGAAUAUAUAUAACUAACAAGGGGUCACACAAUAGUUGCAGUGGAUGAAAAAUAGGAGAUGAAGAAAGAAGUGGUGGCAGCCAUUUAGCGAGCAAUGAUAGACGACACAUGGCAAGCAAGGAAUUGAAGAAUUUUUAGACGCACCAAUGUGAAUACACAGUUUGCAAUUCCACAGAUACAGAAAGAAGUCAAAAUUAGACUAGAGAGUAUACAAACAUCAAAGAAAGCAAAAGAAAUUGUCAAAGUCGGUCCCAGAAAUUAUGUAAUUAGUUAGGUAUUGUUUAUGUUUGUUACUGUUUCUAUUAGUUUGAUUAAAUAGAGGAUGUGUUUUCUUGUUGGUUGAUUGGAGGCCUGGAUGUAGCACCUUGAAAUGGAGGUUGCCAACAUAGGCGCUCAUGACUUGUACAAAAAUUGGUUGUUAAUGGUAAUAUUUCAUAUUUAUUACCACAAACAAAUGUUAAAAAGAACCAUAAGAAAAAUUAGAUAUGAAGAUUUAUAAAGACCCUCAAUCGACCAGUACCAAAAAUUACCAAUCUUGAAGAUAAAAACUAAAUUUCCAACAAUUAUUCUUACUAAAGUUCCAUCCAUCAGUGUAAUAAUUGCGGUUGUCAAGUGGAUUUUUUUCUAUGGGUUCUUUCGGAGGCCAGUACUAGAGAUGAGUUUCCAGUACCAUUUUCCUCCACAAAAACAUAGAAGAAGGCAUAAAUUAUUUUUUAAAUAUAAGUUUUAUUUCAAAAAAAUUAAAAUUCUAUAUCCAAAUUCACACCCUAAAUCAAGUAUUUUGACCUAUGUACACCGAAUUAUGCCAAACAAAGUAGAGCAAAUAUGAGACAAAGUCAAUUAUAAACAUGAUCAUGCUUGUUAUUUAUUUCAAUUUAUUUGUAUUUUAUUGAGCGUAAAAUAAUUUAUGUUUUUUAUUUUUAAUAUUUUGUUUUAAAUUGCUUUGUAUUUUAGUAUUUAAAUUUUGAUUUUAUCUAUUAUCAUGUAAAUUGCUAUUGUAAAUUUUACUAUGUUAACAUUUGGUUUUUCUAGAAACGCAAUCAUAGAAACUGCUACCUACAAAAUAUGACGAAUUAGUUGAGUUCUUUAGGAAUUUUGACACUUAAGUUGUAGAAGCUCUUGUUUUCUCUUUUUCGUUUUUCAACAUCAAAUUUAUCACCUUAUCAAGAUUAAACUAGUCUAUCCUUUCCUUUAUCUUUUUCUAAAGUCUUACAACAUAGCAAUUUUGUCACGAUCCCAAAUCUCCCAUAGUAGGAUGUCGUGAUGACACUUAUUCUCUAAGACUAGGUAAGUCUAACAUACAUAAAGAAAUUGCGAAAGUAACAACAUAACUUCAAAUUAAACCAUCUAUCUAACAUAAUGGAACUCAACAAUACCGCAAACAAUAACUCCCAAAAUCUAAUGAGACUGAGUCAUAAGCUCUACACGAGUAUACUGAAACAUCCCUAAUGUGUCACGGUCUAAAUAAAGAGUAUGCAAUAGAAAAACAAGGACAGAGGGUGACUCCGAGUCCUGCGAACGCCGGCAGACAUACCCUGAACUCUCCGAUCUGAAAGCUCUAGUCACUGGUGCCUAGCAUGAUAUGAGGUGCCUAGAUCUGCACAAAAAGAUGUGCAGAAGUAUAGUAUGAGUACAUCACAACGGUACCCAGUUGGCAUCAAGCCUAACAUCGGUAGAGUAGUGACGAGGUCAGGUCAAGACACCUACUAGGUUAAUAAAAGAAGUUGAAUAGGUAUAGUACCGUAUAAUAAUGGAAACAAGAAAAUGAGAUAAUGAAGAAAUACAACAAGAUAAGCUAUAACUGAAUAUAAGGCAAUAAAGUCAACAAGGGAGGAACACGUAAUAAGAAUACCAAGAAAACGAUAUAGACAAACUCAAGUGAUGUAAAUGAAAGAUAACAUCAAGAAUCACCACCGAGGUACCGCCUUGUAACUCAUUUCACAAUAACAAUCACAAUUUUUCCUUAUAUCACUGCGGGAGCCUUACAUUUAAUUUUAAAAAUUAUUUUUUUUCGAAAUAGCUACCUGCAUUUUAGCCCACAUUAUCACAUCGUGUGGCUUCAAGUAGUUCCCCUACUAGCAACACGCGUAUCAACCCCAAUUUAUCUCACCGCAUGCGUAUCAACCCCUAGCUUUAAUGCACCGCAUGCAUAUCAAUAUCACAACAUAAUCACAACUCGCACCACAAGUGCCCAUAUGCCAUAACUUGCCGAAAGAAUCAACAAUAUCAAUGUUUUCACAAUAAAUAUCCCAUGGCUCAACCACAAUAUGCACAAGAGUCUCAACAAUAGCAAACUGAAAAUGAAUAACUCAACAAGAAUGGUAUUUCAACAAUUAACAACCUUGCCUCAAUGAGAUCAUGACUUUUAAAACUUCAACACCAAUAACUCAACAAGAUGCUAUUACAUGAAAACAACAACGUCAAGUAAACAAUUCAACAAUUAAAGGAGUAGCAGACAAUAAGGAAGACAAUAACCUCAACUAAGCAUAUAAAAGCAAAUAACAGGUAAAGGGUGGAACAAGUGUUAACAAUGUCAAACAAGGCAUGUGAUGGCAGAUUAAAAUGCAUAAAGGGUAGAUUAACAAUGAAAUAUAUAAUAUGAUAUGACAAUUCAAUUAAAGUAACGAGAGGAAUCUAAAUAGCCUAAACCGGUCAAUUACCACUUAUAACCCAUGUCCCUACUCGUCACCUUGCAUACACGGCUUUCAAGUACCACAAUUAAAAUAAUACAACUCCAAUACUAAGGGGUAAUUUCCCCACACAAAGUUAAGCAAGAUACUUACCUCAAAUAAGUUAACUCAAUCCGCUAGUUAGCCUUUUCCGCGAAUAUCUAACUUCGAACAGCUCGAAUCUAGCCAAAAUACUUUAUACCAUAAAUACAAAUCAUAGGAACUAUUCCGGAUAAUAAAGUUACAAUCUUUAAAGAAAAUUAAAAAGUCAACUCAAAAAGUCAACUCCAGGCUCGCGUCUCGGAACUGGACCAAACUUAUAAAAUUCGAACACUCAUUCAACAAUGCGUCCAACCACACCAAAAUUAUUUAAUUCUGACCUCAAAUCAACUUUCAAAUCCUCAAAUUAUAUCUUAGAAAGUUUUCGUAAAUUUUCCCAAUUUUUCCAACUAAAAAUACUAAUUAAAUGCUAAAAACAAUGAUAGAUUCAUGUAUAAUUGUAACGACCAGACUUUUCGUUCUAAUAAUUAGCAUCUCGUUCAGCGACUUAAUGUCACGAGCAGCUUUGUGAUGUGUAUUAUGACUUGCAUGUGUGGUCGAGUUUGGUUUUCGGAUGAUUCGGGAUUAAAUUGAAAGAACAAUUCUUAUUUAAGAAGCUUAAAAGAAAAGAGUUAACCGGAGAGUUGACUUUUGAAAAAAUGACUCCAAAAUAGAAUUUCAAUGGUUCUAAUAGCUACGCAUGGUGAUUUUAGACUUAGAAGUGUGUCCGGAUAUUUAUUUGGAAGUCCGUAGUUGAUUUCGCUUGAAAUGGCAAAAGUUAGAAUUGGAAGGUUUGAAAGUUUGAUCGGGACUUGACUUUGGUGAUAUCGGGGUCGUAAUAUGAUUCUAAAAAUUAGAAUAGGUCUGUUAUGUCAUUUAUGACUUGUGUGCAAAUUUUGAGGUCAAUUGGACUUUAUUUGAUAGGUUUCGGCAUCCAUCGUAGAAGUUGGAAUUUCCUUAGUUUUAAUAGGCUUGAAUUGGUGUGCGAUUUGUAUUUUUGAUAUUGUUUGAUGUGAUUUGAUGGUCCGACUAAGUUCGUAUCGUGUUAUAGGACUUGUUGGUACAUUCGGAUGGGGUCCCGAGUGGCUCGAAUGAGUUCCGGAUUGUAUUUUGAGCGAGACCGGGCAUUUCAGCUCUCUAAUGAUGUUAUGAGACAAUUGAAGUGCGGAGGGCACAUUUUUGAGAGCAGAAGUGCGGCCGCAAACUCCCCAAGUGCUGUAGCAGUAGGAAUUGUGCGGCCCGCAGUUGAAAUUGUGUGGUCUGCAGAAUUCUUCUCGCGGCCGCAGAAAGGUGAUUUCGCAGAUUCGAUAGUCCGAUUUCGGAAGCUUAUAUCUUUUAAUCUACAAAUAAUUCUGAGAUGAUUCAAAAAUGAAAGUUGUAGCCCUUUGAAUCUAGGUUCCAGAAAGAUUUAGCAUUAAUUAUUAGGACAUAUGUAGAGAAAGUUAUGGCUAAUUUACUAAAGCUUGGUAGUGCAGCCACUAUUGAAGUGCGGCCGAACAAUUUGGAUCGCGGCCGCACAAAAAUAUGUGCAGUCAGCACAAUGAGGGGUCAGAUUGUAUACUAUAUAACCGAGGUUUUGGGUAUUAUUUCACAUUUGAACUUUGGAAGCUCGGUUUAUGGCGAUUUUUCGUGGGAUUUUGAAGAAAAUCAUUGGGGUAAGUGAUUCUAAGGAUUUGGUUAAUAUACACAAAUAUAUCAUUAUUUUUAUUAUUUAAUUAGUUUUUUGAGAUGAAAAUUUGGAAAAAAUAAUAGAAAUUUUAUAAAACGAAAAUUUAAGAUAUGGAGAUCGAUUUGUUAUCGGAAUUUGGUAAACUUGGUAUGGUUGAACUCGUAUCGAAAUGGGUAUUCGUAUUUCGUGAAAAGUCUAUUGGGUUUCGAGAGGCGAGCCCCGUGUUGACUUUUUACUGUGAAAUAUUAAGUUGACAUUUUAUUAUCCGGAAUUAUUUCCGAUAAAUUUUAAUGAAGUUAUACAAUCAAUUUUGAUAGAUUUGAGAUGUCAGGAGGUCAAUUCAAGCAAAAAGGCUAUUUUGGAAUAUCGGAAUAACUUCAAAAAGGUAAGUAUCUUGCCUAACCUUGAGUGAUGGAAUUACCCCUUAGGUAUUGUGUCUUAUGUGGAAAUUGUGUAAUUGAAAACCAUGUACGCGAGGUGACGAGAACGUACUUGGUUUAUAUGUGCAAAUUAUAUAGGUUGAAAUUCAUAGACGCCCUUAUGUAUUAAAUUAAAAAAUUAUUGAAAUUUAGUAAAUCCUUGAUUUUUCAUGCCUCAUUCCUUGUUUGUCGAGUUUAUAUUUUAUAUGAUAAUUUAGUGUGAUUGCCACUUGGAUUUUUAUGUGAAAUCCGUGUGUUUGUUGAUAUGAUAUUUCUUGGAAAUAAUCACAUUAUGGAUUUUUCAUCUGAAAAUAAUUAAUUAAAUAAGUUUAAAUUGAGGCAUUUAUAUAUUUAUCUAAAAUUUAGAUUAAAGAAGGCGUUGUCCUAUAAUGAGUUAUUUUCCCAUCCUUUUGGUUAUUUUUGAGAUUUUAUAUACAUUGUGUUGAGCCGUGGACUAUCUGUUGUGAGAUUAAUUGACUUUGUUGUACCUUUGGAAUGGUCGUGGCCUACGGGCAAUUUGUAAAUACGAGUUGAUGAUGUUGUGUUGUUGUGAUAAUAUUCUAUGUGAAUUAUUGUGUGAUUUGGGUUACUAUUAUGCGGCGUAUAAGAGUGGCAUUCCAUUUUUGACAUUAUGCGGACAUAAGGGUGGCAUUUCACUGUUAUUAUGUGUUUUGGGAUAUUGUCUGGCGGAGUGAUAAUGGAGGCUAUUAAACGUAGCGAUAAGGGAGGCUAUUAUAGGAGCGAUAAGGGUGGCUAUUGAUAUUGUCAGGGUGGAGGGAUAAGGAAGGCUAUUAUAUGAGUGAUAAGGGUGGGUAUAGGAGAGAUAAGUGUGGCUAUUGUAAGGGACGAUAUGUGAUAAUGUAGAGUUAUUGUGUUGGUAAUUUUUAUGUGAUGAUGUGGGGUUAUUGCGUUGGUAAUUUUCAUGUUAUGUUGUGAUUUUUUUUGUGUUUAUUUUAUAUCUUGUGCAACUUGUCUUGUUGUUUCGGUAAACUUGAUAAUAGUCUGAUCUAUGUUGAAAUUGGGAGGCUGUGGCUAUUGCGAGGUGGAUUAUGUUAUAUGGGAUCGAGUUGCACGCCGCAACAAGUAUGAUUAAUAUUAUAUGGGAUCGGGUUGCAUGUCGCAACAUAUAUGAAAUGUGGGCACGAGGUAUCGGGGAAAAUAUGAUGAUGAUAUUGGCAUGUGAGUUGUCCGUGCGGUUGUGAUAGAGAUAUUGGCACGAGGUGCCGUAGAAAUAUGAAAGUGGGCUUAGACCCGUAUUUUAUGAUUAUGAGGUGAGGUGUCACAAGGUGACUUUUAUUUGAAAGGAUUAUAUUCAAAUUAUUAUUUGAAAGAAUUAUAUUCGAAAGAAAUUUAUUUGAAAGAAUUAUAUUUGAAGGAUAUUUAAUUGAAAGAAGUAUAUUGAAAAUAUAUUUAUUGGAAAGGAUUAUAUUCUAGAGAUUUCUAUUGAAAAACUUAAAAAUGGAAGAUGUAUAUUUUGAAGGACUUGAUUAUUGGUUGUACUUGUGUUCAUUACAUGUUUGAGCAAUAUUUAUGGAUUUCGUGUUGCUUUGCUGUUUACAUCACUAGUGGAUUAUUGUUGCUAUUACUGCUAUUUAUUUUCUAUUAUUUUUGCAUACUAUAUUGUAUAUGUUAUUAGACUAGUGAGUGUUUUGACUGUACCUCGUCACUACUCCAUCGAGGUUAGUCUUGAUACUUACUAGGUACCGACUAUGGUGUACUCAUACUACACUUCUGUACAUUUUUGUGCAGAGCCAGGUAUUGGAGAUAUCGG